rnacentral:rRNA from 1 species
UACGUAGGGGGCGAGCGUUGUCCGAAGUUACUGGGCGUAAAGCGCGCGUAGGCGGUUAUUUAAGUCUGUGGUGAAAGGUUCAGCGCUCAACGCGAACAUUGCCCUGGAUACUGGAUGACUUGAGUCUGGGAGAGGGUAGCGGAAUUCCUGGUGUAGCGGUGAAAUGCGUAGAUAUCAGGAGGAACACCGGUGGCGAAGGCGGCUACCUGGCCUAAGACUGACGCUGAGGUGCGAAAGCGUGGGGAGCGAACGGG